rnacentral:lncRNA from 1 species
CAGGGGUCAGGUGACAUGGGACCAGACCAGCAAGUGUAGGGAGUCUGGAUUUAUUCUGAAUAUAAUGAGAGACCAUUUGUGCUGUGUGAGCAGAGAAGCCACGGGUGGUGAUUUUGUAACUGGAAAAGCUCCAUUCGGCUCCGGCGUGACGACUAGAGAGUCAAGGGCAGGAAAAGGAGCUCUGGAGAUCUCAGAAAGCAUCACAGUACCCGGGGCUCCUGUACCCUGAGCAAAGAUACUUAGGUAUGUCCAACAAAACCAGUUAUAUAACUGAUCCAGAAGCCUCAGGGUAAGUAAGCCCGAUUGCAUUCA